AAUAAAUUUGCUGGAGGGACUUGGAUGGAAAAAGACGGGGAGCUGGUAAAAGCACCCCGGGUAAUUACAGAAUAAACAUGGGGUUAGCUGCACUGUACACUUUUAUCUGCCAGGUAGUCCCAAACAUCUAAUAAUAAAGUUGCGGCCUAAUUAAAUCCAUGUCAAACGUCUCCUGUCCGCCUUUUGAUAUAGCCAGACAAUCAUUUUUGGGUUAAU